GAUGAACGCUGGCGGCGUGCCUAAUACAUGCAAGUCGAGCGAACAGACGAGGAGCUUGCUCCUCUGACGUUAGCGGCGGACGGGUGAGUAACACGUGGAUAACCUACCUAUAAGACUGGGAUAACUUCGGGAAACCGGAGCUAAUACCGGAUAACAUGUUGAACCGCACGGUUCAACAGUGAAAGACGGUCUUGCUGUCACUUAUAGAUGGAUCCGCGCCGCAUUAGCUAGUUGGUAAGGUAACGGCUUACCAAGGCAACGAUGCGUAGCCGACCUGAGAGGGUGAUCGGCCACACUGGAACUGAGACACGGUCCAGACUCCUACGGGAGGCAGCAGUAGGGAAUCUUCCGCAAUGGGCGAAAGCCUGACGGAGCAACGCCGCGUGAGUGAUGAAGGUCUUCGGAUCGUAAAACUCUGUUAUUAGGGAAGAACAAAUGUGUAAGUAACUAUGCACGUCUUGACGGUACCUAAUCAGAAAGCCACGGCUAACUACGUG
rnacentral:rRNA from 1 species